UAUGGCUGUGGCUUGCUA
rnacentral:misc_RNA from 1 species